rnacentral:rRNA from 1 species
AUGGACGGGGGCCACGGGCAGAGGCAGCCGCUGUCGCCGGCGAUCUCGGCCUCGGCGGUGCUGCCGCACCAGCGGCAGAUGCAGCUCCUCCAGCACCCGGCGCGCCCGGCAAUCGCCGAUCUCUUCACCCUGUACCUCGGCGUGAACUCGAAGCAGCGAGCCGAGGACCCGACGAGGGAGACCUCGAACAAGCUGCAGAAGAGAGUAUCUGCUCAUAACAGAGAUCUGCCUCCCCGCGACGAGCAGUUCAUUUCAGAUUUUGAGCAGUUGUGCAUGCCGUUUCCGGAGCAGGAGCAGUUACAGGCUGUCACAGAAUCAGUUCUCAUCUCAUUUGUUCUGCAAUGCAGUAGCCAUGCUCCACAAUCUCAGUUCCUGCUCUUUGCUACGCGGUGCCUCUGCGCUCGUGGCCACCUCAGAUGGGACAGUCUCAUUCCAUCUCUACUUACUGUAGUUUCCUCCGCCGAGGCACCAAUGGGCCAAGGGGGUUCUGUGACUGUUGGUGGCCCUGUGUCUUCUUCAUCAGCUAUUGCAGUGCCAAAUGCUCCAAGCUUUCACGCUUCAAAUCCUACGUCUCCCUUGUCAGCAAUGAACACUAUAGGAUCUCCUACUCAAUCUGGUAUUGAUCAACCUGUAGGGGCAAAUGUGUCACCCAUGAAGGCGGCUGAGUUCUCUACUCUUGGGCAGCCUGGUACAACAUCAAGAGGUGACCAGUCCCGCGGAGGAGCACAAGUUAGCUACCUGCAUCAUUUAUCCUGUAGGAUUAUUUUAGCUGGUCUGGAGUCCAAUUUGAAGCCAGCUACUCAUGCUGUGAUAUUCCAUCAUAUGGUAAAUUGGCUAGUCAAUUGGGACCAGAGACCCCAUGGCGUGGAUGAAGCUGAUACAGUGCAAACUUCUAGGAUCGGAAGGCCCGUGCAUGAAUGGAUGCAUCUAUGCUUAGACGUGAUUUGGAUUUUAGUUGAUGAAGAGAAAUGUCGCAUUCCAUUCUAUGAGCUUGUUCGCAGCAACUUGCAGUUUCUGGAGAACAUUCCUGAUGAUGAUGCAGUGAUUUGCAUCAUUAUGGAGAUCCAUAGGAGGAGGGACAUGGUGUGCAUGCACAUGCAAAUGUUGGAUCAACACCUUCACUGCCCAACAUUUGGAACUCAUCGGUUCUUGUCACAAUCCUAUCCAAGCAUAGCUGGUGAAUCUGUUGCUAAUUUGCGUUAUUCUCCUAUUACUUAUCCCAGUGUUCUGGGUGAGCCACUGCAUGGAGAGGAUCUUGCAAACUCUAUUCCAAAGGGGGGUUUCGACUGGGAACGUGCUCUGCGUUGCUUGAGGCAUGCUCUCCGCACAACUCCAUCACCAGAUUGGUGGAGACGCGUUCUUCUUGUUGCUCCUUGUUACAGAUCACAUUCUCAAACAUCAACACCAGGAGCUGUUUUCUCACCAGAUAUGAUUGGUGAGGCAGUUGCUGACAGGACAAUUGAACUACUGAAGUUAACUAACUCAGAAACUCAGUGUUGGCAAGAUUGGCUUUUGUUUGCAGAUAUCUUUUUCUUCCUAAUGAAAAGUGGCUGUAUUGAUUUUCUCGAUUUUGUGGACAAGCUUGCAUCUCGAGUAACAAAUGGUGAUCAACAGAUUCUACGCAGUAAUCAUGUCACAUGGUUGCUUGCACAGAUUAUCCGUAUUGAGAUUGUGAUGAACACACUUAGUUCGGACCCAAGGAAGGUUGAAACGACACGCAAGAUAAUUUCAUUCCACAAAGAAGACAAAAGCCUUGAUCCUAAUAACAUCAGCCCUCAAAGUAUUCUUCUUGAUUUCAUAAGUAGCAGCCAGACUUUGCGCAUUUGGUCUUUCAACACUUCAAUUAGAGAGCAUUUGAACAGCGAUCAGCUUCAAAAAGGCAAACAGAUAGAUGAGUGGUGGAAACAGAUGACAAAAGCUUCGGGAGAGAGAAUGAUAGAUUUUAUGAACUUGGAUGAGCGAGCAAUGGGCAUGUUUUGGGUUCUCUCGUUCACCAUGGCACAACCAGCAUGUGAUGCAGUCAUGACCUGGUUUACAUCAGCUGGAGGGGCAGAAUUCAUGCAGGGACCCAAUAUGCAACCAAAUGAAAGAGUGACGAUGAUGCAUGAAACUUACCCUUUGUCAAUGGCGUUGCUUUCUGGGUUGUCUAUCAACUUGUGUUUGAAGCUUGCUUACCAGCUUGAAGAGACUAUAUUUCUUGGCCAGGCUGUUCCUAGCAUUGCUAUGGUGGAAACCUACGUUAGGUUGCUGCUUAUAACACCACAUUCAUUGUUCCGCCCACAUUUUACGACACUAACCCAAAGAUCGCCAUCUAUUCUGAGCAAAUCUGGUGUGUCUUUGCUCCUACUUGAGAUACUGAAUUACAGACUACUUCCUCUGUACAGGUAUCACGGAAAAAGCAAGGCAUUGAUGUAUGAUGUCACAAAGAUAAUAUCAAUGAUUAAGGGAAAACGUGGAGAGCAUCGCCUUUUUAGAUUAGCUGAAAAUUUGUGCAUGAACUUAAUUCUCUCACUGAGAGACUUCUUUUUGGUGAAAAAAGAGUUGAAGGGACCAACUGAGUUUACUGAAACGCUUAACCGCAUAACCAUAAUAAGCCUUGCGAUCACCAUCAAGACACGUGGAAUCGCCGAGGUUGAACACAUGGUUUAUCUUCAACCACUAUUGGAGCAAAUUAUGGCAACCAGUCAGCAUACAUGGUCAGAAAAGACUCUACGUUAUUUUCCUCCCCUUAUUCGUGACUUUUUAACGGUUAGGGCGGAUAAGAGGGGACAAGCUAUCCAAGCAUGGCAGCAGGCAGAAACUACUGUUAUCAAUCAAUGCAACCAGCUACUGUCACCAUCCGCUGAGCCGAACUAUGUCAUGACUUAUUUGAGCCAUAGUUUCCCUCAGCAUCGUCGCUAUCUAUGCGCUGGUGCUUGGAUGCUAAUGAAUGGGCAUCCUGAGAUCAACAGCGCAAAUCUUGCUCGUGUCUUGAGAGAGUUUUCACCUGAAGAAGUUACUGCAAAUAUUUAUACAAUGGUUGAUGUUCUUCUGCAUCAUAUCCAGCUUGAGCUUCAACGGGGGCAUCUAGUGCAGGAUUUACUUUCCAAAGCAAUCACGAAUCUUGCAUUCUUUGUCUGGACACAUGAGUUAGUUCCACUGGACAUUGUGCUACUAGCUCUUAUUGACAGGGAUGAUGAUCCUUAUGCUUUACGUCUUGUGCUUGGACUUGCUUUGAUGAUAAAUUUAACAUUACAGAUAAGUCUGCUUGAAAGAUCUGAACUUCAGCACAGAAUUAAAGCAUUCUGCAGUUCUCGUUCUCCUGAGCAUUGGCUAAAAAAUCAACCUCCAAAAAGAGCUGAGCUCCAGAAAGCUCUUGGUAACCAUCUUUCAUGGAAGGACCGCUAUCCUCCCUUUUUCGAUGACAUUGCUGCCCGCUUGCUUCCAGUCAUCCCACUGAUAAUUUAUAGGCUUAUUGAGAAUGAUGCUACAGAUAUCGCAGACAGGGUUCUCGCAUUUUAUUCUACCUUUCUCGCUUUCCACCCACUGAGAUUUACAUUUGUGCGGGAUAUUCUUGCAUACUUCUAUGGUCAUCUUCCAAGCAAGUUAAUUGUCCGGAUCCUCAACGUGCUGGGUGUUAGCACCAAGACUCCUUUCUCAGAAUCCUUUGCUCAAUAUUUAGGGUCUUCAAAUUCUUCUAUUUGCCCACCACCAGAAUAUUUUGCCAACCUUUUGCUAGGCCUUGUUAAUAAUGUCAUACCUCCUUUGAGUAGCAAGUCCAAAUCAAACCCAGCAGAUGCUUCUGGCGGACGCACAAAUUUCAGCAAGCCUCAUGCAUCUACGCAAGCUGGUGGAAAUAGUAACGCUGAUGCUCAGAGGGCAUUUUAUCAAAAUCAGGAUCCUGGGUCAUACACACAGCUUGUCUUGGAAACAGCAGCUAUUGAGAUUCUCUCACUUCCUGUGCCAGCUUCUCAAAUAGUGUCCUCUCUAGUUCAAUUAAUAGCUCAUGUACAAGCAAUGCUUAUACAGUCAAAUACUGGUCAAGGAAUGUCUGGUGGUUUGGGCCAAAACUCUGGGCUGCCAACUUCUCCUUCAGGUGCGGGUGCUGAGUCGGCAGGUGCCAGCCGAGGAAACACUUCAGCAAGUGGAAUCAGCGCGAACUUUGUUUCUAGAAGUGGCUACUCUUGUCAGCAGUUGUCUGUUUUGAUGAUUCAAGCAUGUGGCUUCUUGCUGGCACAACUCCCACCAGAAUUUCACAUGCAACUUUACUCAGAAGCAGCUCGAAUCAUAAAAGAUUGUCGUUGGCUUUCUGACAGUUCGAGACCUGUGAAAGAGCUUAACUCAGCUGUUGGUUACGCACUUCUGGACCCAACAUGGGCUUCUCAAGACAGUACAUCGACAGCCAUCGGUAACAUUGUGGCCCUUCUACACUCAUUUUUUAGCAAUCUUCCUCAAGAGUGGCUGGAAUCUUCACAUACUGUCAUCAAACAUCUCCGGCCAGUGACUUCAGUUGCCAUGUUGAGAAUUGCCUUCCGCAUAUUGGGCCCCUUAUUGCCUCGUCUAGCCUUUGCUCGACCUCUAUUCAUGAAGACACUGGCUUUGCUGUUCAAUGUGUUGGGGGAUGUGUUUGGGAAGAACUCUCAGGCCUCACCUCAUGUGCCGGCAUCAGAAAUUGGAGACAUCAUUGACUUUGUGCAUCAUGCCGUCAUGUAUGAAGGUCAAGGCGGCCCGGUUCAGAGUACCAGCAAACCUAAAGUGGAGAUACUGACAUUGUGCGGGAAAGUGGUGGAUAUGCUUCGGCCUGACGUGCAGCAUCUCCUGUCCCACCUCAAGACCGAUCCAACCUCGUCGAUUUACGCGGCGACCCAUCCAAAGCUAGCGCAACAACACCCAUCCUAA